AAACUAAUUUCAAAAGCUUAAUCAACCUCCUGACAACCCCGAGUUAUUUUAUAAUAUUAUAAAAACAUUAAUGCUAGAACUAGUAAUAAGAAAAUUUCUCUAAGCACAUCCUUAAAUCAGAAUAGAAAAACUACUGACUGUUAACAACAACCUGACAAACACGUACAAGAACCCCCUGUCACCCAGCCCUGUUAACCCAACACAGGAGUGCAGCAAAGAAAGGUUAAACAACGUAAAAGGAACUCGGCAAUUCCAAGUCCCAACUGUUUACCAAAAACAUAGCCUUUAGCCUAACAAGUAUUAAAGGUCUAACCUGCCCAGUGACUUCUUAAACGGCCGCGGUAUCCUAACCGUGCAAAGGUAGCAUAAUCACUUGUCCCCUAAAUAGGGACUAGAAUGAACGGUCAAAUGAGGACUUAACUGUCUCUUACGUAUAACCAAUAAAACUGAUCUCUCAGUCAAAAAGCUGAGAUAAAAACAUAAGACGAGAAGACCCUGUGGAGCUUCAAACCAAACCCAAGCCAAAUGGAGCUCGGUUUUUAGUUGGGGCGACUUCGGAGUACAAAAAAACCUCCGACAAACUAUAUAAAGACCUACACGUCAACAUAUCCUUAUCACGACCCGGUGUUAAUAAACAUCCGAUCAAUGAACCAAGUUACCCCAGGGAUAACAGCGCCAUCCCCUUCUAGAGUCCUUAUCGACAAGGGGGUUUACGACCUCGAUGUUGGAUCAGGACACCCAAAUAGUGCAGCCGCUAUAAAGGUUCGUUU
rnacentral:rRNA from 1 species